AUGGGAGAGAAUUCCGAGAGUAUUCAGGCGUCGCUGGCCGCCCUUCUCACCAAGAUUGAAGCCAUGGAUAUGAGGAUUUCCAAUUUUGGCAAACAGCUCGAGGCAACACAGGAGAACGUGGACACGAUUCGUCACCGGCAGGCGGAGGCGGGGGCUACACCGGCAGGGUCGGGAGUCACGGAGCAGGGCACGUUAUCGGCCACCCGCCCCGCUCCGCGGCUUGCGAAUCUGCAGCCGCCCCUCCUCGAGGAGCCGGAUGGACAGCCGGCGGGUCAGGUUUUCACCACGGCGCCCCCAUCACCUGUGGAGCCUAUGCUUGGGCGGGCACCACCACCGGAACCACGCCACGAUCCCAGGCCGGCGCGUGAACACGUUCCAGACCACCGUCGUGUGUUGGCACAGGAUAGAGACCGUGUCCAGUUCAUCAAGCCACCCAAGCACCAUUUUCCACGGUUCACAGGUGAGAAUCCACGACUUUGGAUUGACAUGGCUCUCACCUACUUUGACAUGUACCAAGUGCCUGUGCAUCAAUGGGUUUCUACGGCGACACUGUACCUGGAUGGACAUGCGGCACUUUGGUGGCAAGCAUUCAAGCAUCGUCGGCGUUUUUGGCCGUGGGAUGACUUUGCAGUUGAGAUUGAGUCAGAAUUUGGGCAAGGCGAGUUUGAAUCUCAUAUGACUCAUCUCUUACAAUUGAAGCAACAGGGCACUGUGACUGAGUACAAGUCCGCAUUCGAGACAGCGAUGUAUCAUUUGAUAGCAUUAGACCCUUCCUUGAACUCCAAGUUUUUUAUAUCCCAGUUUGUACUUGGACUGAAGGAUGAGAUCAGAGCAGCGGUACGUUUGCAGGCACCCACCAGUGUUACUCGAGCAGUUUGUUUGGCCAAAAUUCAGGAAGAAGAGCUAGAGAUACAGCGGCCUCGACAACGUUUUCAGAGACAGGCACCAAUACAGACCAUGCCUACUGCAAUCCAACCAGUUCAGCAAGCAGGGAAGAAAGCAGCUGAUGAUUUUGGUCGUGAGAGGCAGCUACGAGAUUUCAGAAAAGCAAAUGGACUAUGCUUCAGAUGUGGAGAUAAGUACAGCAAGGAACAUCAAUGUAAGAAGCCUCUGCAGCUACUUACUAUACAAGUUGGUGAACAUGGGGAAGUGUAUUCUAUUGCAGUGCAGUAA
rnacentral:rRNA from 1 species